rnacentral:sRNA from 1 species
GUGUUCUCAGGUCACCCCUGC